GCCAGGUGCGGUGGUGCAUGCCUGUAAUCCCAGCAACUUUGGAGGCUGAGGCAGGAGUAUUGCAAGUUCAAAGCCAGCCUCAG
rnacentral:sRNA from 1 species